rnacentral:rRNA from 1 species
UACAGGGGGUGCAAACGUUGCUCGGAAUUAUUGGGCGUAAAGCGCGCGUAGGCGGCUACCUAAGUCGGAUGUGAAAGCCCCUGGCUUAACUGGGGAAGUGCACCCGAAACUGGGUAGCUAGAGUGCAAAAGAGGGUCGCGGAAUUCCCGGUGUAGAGGUGAAAUUCGUAGAUAUCGGGAGGAACACCGGUGGCGAAGGCAGGUCUCUGGGCUGACACUGACGCUCAUGCACGAAAGCGUGGGGAGCAAACAGG